rnacentral:rRNA from 1 species
AUUGAACGCUGGCGGCAGGCCUAACACAUGCAAGUCGAGCGGUAGCACAGGAGAGCUUGCUCUCGGGUGACGAGCGGCGGACGGGUGAGUAAUGUCUGGGAAACUGCCUGAUGGAGGGGGAUAACUACUGGAAACGGUAGCUAAUACCGCAUAACGCCGCAAGACCAAAGAGGGGGACCUUCGGGCCUCUUGCCAUCAGAUGUGCCCAGAUGGGAUUAGCUAGUAGGUGGGGUAAUGGCUCACCUAGGCGACGAUCCCUAGCUGGUCUGAGAGGAUGACCAGCCACACUGGAACGGAGACACGGUCCAGACUCCUGCGGGAGGCAGCAGUGGGGAAUAGUGCACAAUGGGCGAAAGCAUGAUGCAGCCAUGCCGCGGGUAUGAAGAAGGCCUUCGGGUUGUAAAGUACUUACAGCGGGGAGGAAGGUGCUGAGGUUAAUAACCUCAGCAAUUGACGUUACCCGCAGAAGAAGCACCGGCUAACUCCGUGCCAGCAGCCGCGGUAA